rnacentral:lncRNA from 1 species
CUGCAGGUAAAAUUUCAACUCCCAGCCUCGACAUCACAGUGUCUUAGAAACUGGAGUGCUUGGGAAUGGCACUCACUUGUUAAAGGAUUAUGAACACUGGAGUGAGGAAAAAAAAAGUUACGUGCAAAAUCCUACUUCUGCUAUGGUCAUGAACACCUGUGUCCACAGUUACACAUGUGUGGUACCUCUACCUGAGACUAAAGUUCACAUUCCAAAAUGUCUUCUGUGCGAGCACUGUGAAUUCUUAAACAAAACUUAACCUCUGGCUAUGAAGAAUUAGUAAUGUUAUCAAUGUUUUCCAUUACACUGUUCUUUAAGAUGCCUAAGCAGCAGCUAAGGGAAUUUACUUCACUCUUGUUUGUUUGUUUCCUUCUCCCUUUCUUUCUCUCUCUUUUGCUUUCCUCUCUCUUUUGCUUUUUCACUUUUCUCUCUUUUGUUCUCUCUCUUAUUCAUAUCUAUCCUGUUCUUUCUCUCUUGCUUUCUUUCAUUCUCAUUUUUCCUCUCUCACUUUUUCUUUUACUCUUUUGUUCUUUUUUUCUCUCGCUUUCUUAUUCUUUCUUGCUCUCUCAUUCUUUCUCUUGCUUUCUAUUCUCUUUUGCUCUCUCUUUUAUUCUUUUUUGCCUGCUCUCUUCUUUGCUUUCUCUCAUCCAUUCUCUCUUUCAUUUGCUCUCUCCUGCUCUCUUUUCUUCUUCUUUUUCCUCACUGCUUCUCUCUAUCUCUUUAGGUCUCUUUCUUUUUCUUUCUUUGUCUUUUUCAACCUCUAUUUCACUUUCUCACUUCUUUUCCUCUCUCUCUCUUUUUUUCUUUCUCUCUUUAUCUUUCCCCUUCCCUCCUUUCUUCCUUCCCUCCUUCCUUUCUCUCUUUCCCUCUCUCUCUCCCCCAUCUCUCCUCUUCCUUUUCUCUCUCUUUCCCUCUUUCUUUCCUUCUCUCCUUCUCUCUCUCUCUUUUUUUAAUGUAAACCAUGAGAAGAAUACGUUGCAAACUGUUCCUGGGUUCUGGUUCCUC